rnacentral:rRNA from 1 species
UACCAGCACCCCGAGUGGUCGGGACGUUUAUUGGGCCUAAAGCAUCCGUAGCCGGUUCUACAAGUCUUCCGUUAAAUCCAACUACUUAACAGGUGGGCUGCGGAAGAUACUAUAGAGCUAGGAGGCGGGAGAGGCAAGCGGUACUCGAUGGGUAGGGGUAAAAUCCGUUGAUCCAUUGAAGACCACCAGUGGCGAAGGCGGCUUGCCAGAACGCGCUCGACGGUGAGGGAUGAAAGCUGGGGGAGCAAACCGG